rnacentral:rRNA from 1 species
AGCAGUAGCCACGGUAAAACGGAGGGGGCUAGCGUUGUUCGGAAUUACUGGGCGUAAAGCGCACGUAGGCGGCUUGGUAAGUUAGAGGUGAAAGCCUGGAGCUCAACUCCAGAAUUGCCUUUAAGACUGCCGAGCUAGCAGGUGAGAGAGGUAAGUGGAAUUCCGAGUGUAGAGGUGAAAUUCGUAGAUAUUCGGAAGAACACCAGUGGCGAAGGCGGCUUACUGGCUCAUACUGGACGCUGAGGUGCGAAAGCGUGGGGAGCAAACAGGAUUAGAUACCCCAGUAGUCCCUGUCUCUUAUAC